rnacentral:rRNA from 1 species
AUUGAACGCUGGCGGCGUGCUUAACACAUGCAAGUCGAGCGGUAACAGGUGUAGCAAUACAUGCUGACGAGCGGCGAACGGGUGAGUAAUGCUUCGGAAUCUUCCUAGUAGUGGGGAAUAACCUGGGGAAACUCAGGCUAAUACCGCAUACGAACUACGGUUGAAAGCAGGGGAUCGCAAGACCUUGCGCUAUUAGAUAAGCCGAAGUCGGAUUAGCUAGUUGGUGAGGUAACGGCUCACCAAGGCGACGAUCCGUAGCUGGUCUGAGAGGACGACCAGCCACACUGGGACUGAGACACGGCCCAGACUCCUACGGGAGGCAGCAGUGGGGAAUAUUGGACAAUGGGGGCAACCCUGAUCCAGCGACGCCGCGUGUGUGAAGAAGGCCUGCGGGUUGUAAAGCACUUUUAGUGGGGACAAAAAGCCGAGGGCUAAUACUCUUCGGUCUUGAUUUAACCCAAAGAAAAAGCACCGGCUAACUCUGUGCCAGCAGCCGCGGUAA